UCGGUUGCGUGUUUUUUAAUUAUGUUUCGAGACACAGACACCUGAGGGCAUGGCCGUCGAAGAAGAAAAUGUAGCAAUUGGUGCCAUCUAUCGACCACAGGUCAAAGAUUGGCGAUCCGUUGGAGCUUUUGCGAAUAGCUCCGGCCACAGACAUGGUAGCGAUUAGUGGUGCAUGGACGAAAUCUAGCCACAAGUGCCAUCUAGCCAUGGCCAGAAGAAAGUGUGGCGAUAUCUUGGAUACCGGCGGAGCUAUGGGGCAAAGUUGGGCCAAAAAUGAGGAAAAUUUUACGGUUGCACAAACAGCGUAUGGAACUUGGUUCCUCGAUGAAUAAAUCACUUUUCACUAUGCGAAAACCUCCUUACAAUUUAAUAGUAAUUGUAAAAAAAAUCAAAUUCAAGCCACAUUGCAUAGUCUCCGAACCACCCUGUACGAAAAAUUGACACGCAGAUGAGUGACCGUGAGUGGGGGGGGGUCGUGUUUCAGACUUUAGCCAAAAAUUAUUUGAAAUAAACACGGAAACUGCCGUGUACAGGGGCCUUAAACGCUUCAAGCGUUCAUUAGCUGUCAAGGGAAGGAGUAGGAAUUCUCUUUCUUUUUACGAAACGUUUAACCACAUGUUAAUAUUUAGUUAGAAGCAUUUCUGUCAUGGCGGUUUGUGGGUUAGUUGGAAAUGGUGCAGUUCUGGUAAUUCUUUAGUUUUUCAUUAAAAAUGUCAGUAAAAGUGCAGUGAAGGUCAUUUUAGUGAAGUUAACGUGGUUAUCAGUGUUCAUAAAAGUUGAAAUUCGCCUAAAUAGUGCAGGAUAGGAGUGUAAAGUGUAAGUUAACAGUGUCAAGGCUGGAAAACGGUUCCGUUUAGUGCAGUGUGAUAGUGGUGUGUGGUGUUCGCUAAAUGGCAAUCACCGGGUGACCGAUUAUAGUUAAAAGUAUGUUCUUCCUUGUAUAAUCGAAACUAAAAGUUCGUCUGUAAUUGCAAGCGGCAUGCAUGGAGCGGCUUGGAAAAAGGAUGUAAUCGCAUUACUUUUAAUGCGAUGUUCACCAGCCUGCAGGAUUUGGUUCCCAGCUAACAGUGAGUAAUAUUUUAAAAUAUGUGAGCCUGCAAAGAAAACAUUGAAGGGGUUAUCUGAAGGUGAGUUGAAAACGAAUUAAUAUUAACCUUCAUUUCACUGGUAUAUCUCAGGUUUAAACCAUUGAAAUGAUUUCAAAUUUUCUGUGAAGGUGGAAAAUACGUUUUUCUAUGCUAUUUAAGAAAAUCAGAAUUUUAAAAAUUCUGUUUCAUAUAUUUUCUUUCAUUCAAACUUUGUAUACCCCUUACUUCUAUUACCACCUACCAGGGUAGGUCAUACAUUUUGUUUGGGAGUUUGCGUUUCUACGCAGUUAAUCGUCUAUAUCUCAGGAUUAAGCCAUUGAAAUGAUUUCAAAUUUUCUGUGAAGGUGGAAAAUACGUUUUUCUAUGCCAUUUAAAAAAAUCAGAAUUUUAAAAAUUCUGUUUCAUAUAUUUUCUUCCAUUCAUACUUGUUAUACUCUUUUCUUCUAUAACCACUUACUAGGGUACGUCAUACAUUUUUAUGGCCACCGCUUUUAGCUACUGAAAUGACUUCAAGCUUUCGGUGCUAUGUAACAAACUGUUUUAUGUAACAUUUUUCAGAUACGACAGUUCUAAAGAAUGCAUAAUACAUUUCAGUCCGGUCUUCACAAUUCAUAUAGCAAAAAACUUUAAGGCUAGUAGAAAUAAAGAAAAAAUCUUUAAAAUUCGUAUUACAUUACAUUACAUUCCUAUUUACAUUGAUUACAGUAGAUUUUGUUCCACGAGUGACUGAUUUUUCGAGCAG